GUCCAUUUCCCAAACACACCUGGUCAAGGGCACCCUCCUGUUCUAAUCCCCCCACCCCCAGAACCCUCUUUCACUGAAGGAUAACAAUUCUUCCAGGACCAGGGUACCCACAAAGCAUGAUUCUCCUGCAAAUCACCUCUAUAUUCCAGGCACAUCAGACUACUCCCUGCUCCUCAGUGAUAUUGUGGACUUUGAUGCUUUCAUUUGCAUUACAUGAAUUUCUUCUGCUUCUCUCUCAACCACAUACACUAGCCCCGAUUUCCAACUACCAGUAACUAUCUGGAGUCACUCCAAUUUCACCCACCCUCAAGGCUUCCUCCAAUCCACCUGACGAUAUAUCAUGUGGUUCUCCCUCUCUUUUCCCCUUUCCCCUUGAAAAGAGGAAGACCCAUCAUAAUAGAACCUCUCAUAUUUUUCUGUCUCCUGGUGCUAAUGCAGAGCCCUCUGCAUAAAAGCUAAACACUCAAUGUUUUUUAAUUUAAAAAUAGUCACUAUGCUCACAGUGUAUUACUUGUAACUUUUAAAAUAUAACUCUGAAAGACACGUGUAAGAACAGUGUUUAAAAAAUUAUAAUCACUACAAAAUGACU
rnacentral:lncRNA from 1 species